AUUGAACGCUGGCGGCAGGCCUAACACAUGCAAGUCGAACGAGCGGCGGACGGGUGAGUAAUGUAUGGGAAACUGCCUGAUGGAGGGGGAUAACUACUGGAAACGGUAGCUAAUACCGCAUACUAUCAUAUGGGCCCAUAUGGGAUUAGCUAGUUGGUGGGGUAACGGCUCACCAAGGCGACGAUCCCUAGCUGGUCUGAGAGGCUGACCAGACACACUGGAACUGAGACACGGUCCAGAGUCCUACGGGAGGAAGCAGUGGGGAAGAUUGCACAAUGGGCGCAAGCAGGAUGCAGCCAUGCCGCGUGUAUGAAGAAGGCCUUCGGGUUGUAAAGGACUUUCAGCGGGGAGGCGUUACCCGCAGAAGAAGCACCGGCUAACUCCGUGCCAGCCGCCGCGGUAAUUC
rnacentral:rRNA from 1 species